CCUUGUGGCUUCGCGGCUGCAAAGUGGACCUCGAAAGCAGUCCCCGUGUCCCGGACAUGUCCUUUGACUGUUUGUCGUGGCUGUCUCGGUCCACAGGACAACUGCUCGCGCUCUCGGAUGUGGAAAAUUAAGCGGACAUGGGGGGGUCUCGGCCCCCGGUUGCUSCCAAUCAAGUCCCUCGAUAKGAAUGACUYUCGAUACCUCGCGUUGACCGCAGGCCGUCCAGGCCCGUGNCAUCAAUGCGGGUCCGAAGUCGAGAAAGRAUG
rnacentral:misc_RNA from 1 species